UCGAUGACAAGGAUCUUAGGAGGCUUGAUGAGCUCAGGAGGAUCUAAGAGACCAGUAACAUGGUUGUAGAUAGGCUUGUCGACAGCAACACCGCUCUUGAUAGCCUUAACUUGCUCAUACAUGAGGUCAAAGUCGUUAGCUCUUGGGUCAAGUGCUGUCACCCCCUUCUCUUUCCUUCCAGUUCUGUCGAGUGAAUGGUAAUCAUCUAAGCAUAUCACAGUGGUCAUAUCGCUAAUGAGUGUGUUUGAAUCAGGAUUGCCUCCCUUCGGUGGCUCGGCUGCACCACCAAACACACUUGUUAGCCUCCUCAUGAAGGUACUCUUCCCACAUCCUGAGUCUGCGGCCAAACCAAUCACAACAGUUUGUGAAUCACCGGCCGAGCAUGUUAUCACGCAUGGGCCGCUGCUGCUGCCGCUGCCGCUGCCGCUGCCACCUCUCUUGCUGCUUCUCCUAUAGAAAACUAC
rnacentral:lncRNA from 1 species